ensembl:snoRNA
UCCUCCUACAAAGUCAUGCCUGUGAUCCUGUGUCCCUGGACACAAGAAUUGGUGGGGCGGGGGUGGGGAAUGUAUGUUUGAAGAAGUCUGGGGUCAGCUUCCUCCUCGCAGGCUCCAGCUCACACAUCUCACAUUG